UUUUUUUUUACCAUUCGGUUUGACCACAUUACUCCCAUUUUGGCAUCUCUUCACUGGCUUCCUGUCUCUGUGAGAUCAGAUUUUAAGGUCCUGCUGCUGACCUAUAAAAGUGUUCACAGAAUGGCACCGCCCUACUUGGCUGAUGUACUUAAGCCCUAUGU